UGUAUGAUAGGAAGACCCGGGUUUAGCCCUAGGCAUAACAUAUGAAAGACCAGGAGGCAGCUCCUGGCACAAAGUAUGUCAUGUAUGAUAGGAAGACCCGGGGGUUAGCCCUAGGCAUAAUUCAUGAAAGACUAGGAGGUGGCUAAUGGCAAACAGUAUGUUAUCAUGUAUGAUAGGAAGACCCAGGGGUUAGCCCUAGGCAAUAUGUAUGAAAGACCAAGAGGUGGCUCCUGGCACACUGUAUGCCAUUGUGUAUGUGUAACACCGUAAUUUCCAAAAAUAAAAUUUUCAUUUAAAUAAUCAAUUUAAUAUUAAAACACUUGUUUAAAAUCUUAUUCGCAUUCGAAUUACAAAACAUAGUUUCAUUUUCGUUUUAAUAGAAGACCAGGAUCCUCCAAGACACAACUCUUUCUUUGGUGUGUACAAUCGAACCGUUGCCAUCCCGCGUUACUGUAAGAACCUGAAACAACAUAACAUAAACAACGUAAGCACGAAGCUUAGUGAGUUCCCCAAUAUACCUUACGCACAUACGCCUUCCGGCCCGGACCUUUCGGUCCACAUAACAUUGCCUUCCGGCCCGGACCUUUCGAUCCACAUAAUAUUGCCUUCCGGCCCGGACCUUUCAGUCCACAUAAUAUUGCCUUCCGGCCCGGACCUUUCGAUCCACAUAAUAUUGCCUUCCGGCCCGGACCUUUCAGUCCACAUAAUAUUGCCUUCCGGCCCGGACCUUUCAGUCCACAUAAUAUUGCCUUCCGGCCCGGAUCUUUCGAUCCACAUAAUAUUUGCCUUCCGGCCCAUAACAGUAUAAACAAUACACAUGUAACAUAACGCACAUAACACACAAGUCAUACAUCAUACCGUUCUUCCUACCACAUGAAGUCUCGCCUUCCGGCCCGUAUAAGUAUACAUCAUAUAUAAGCAUACAUCACAUAUUAAGCAUCUAUCUCUCUAGCCAUAGCAUAAAUAUAACACAUACGACCUUCCGG
rnacentral:lncRNA from 1 species